GUGGUGUGUAUUUGGUGUGUGGGUAGUGUGUAGGUAGAGUGUGUGGUGUGUGGCGUGUGGUUUGGGUACUGUGUGGUGUGUGUGCAGUGUGUGGUGUGUGUGGGGUGUGUGGUUUGUGUUGUGAUGUGGGGGUGGCGCAUGUAUGUGUACAGUGUAUAUAGGGUGUAGUGUGUGUGUGGUUUGUGCAGUGUGUAGUGUGUAGUGUGUGUUUGGUGUGUGGGUAGCAUGUGCAGUGUGUGGUGUAUGUGUGUGGUGUGUGUAGUGUGUGUAGUGUGUGUGGUGUGUGGGUAGUGUG
rnacentral:lncRNA from 1 species